rnacentral:lncRNA from 1 species
GAGUUGCACCUCAGUACUCUCCAGCCCGUCACCCCAGCACCCGCUCCGGACCCGGCUCACCUGCGCGGCCACCCCCGUCCCGGCGCUGGCUGCCGAUAGGUCCUUCCAGUAAAGGGCUGGUUCUUCAGUACUGCCAAUGAGAAGGCUCAAAGAAGAGGAUCGUCACACCCAGUCUCAGCUCAGUUGCUCUCUGUCCUACAAGUCAAAGACCAGAUGGUCCCCAAAGAGAAUACUGACAAGCUGUGAAAAUGAUAUGCUUAUAUAUGUGAACACAUUUUCAGAGAAAAGAAAAAGCAGUAUUUAAGAUACUAUUAAGACAACGCUUCUC